rnacentral:rRNA from 1 species
AUUGAACGCUGGCGGAAUGCUUUACACAUGCAAGUCGAACGGCAGCACGGGGGCAACCCUGGUGGCGAGUGGCGAACGGGUGAGUAAUACAUCGGAACGUGCCCAGUCGUGGGGGAUAACGUAGCGAAAGCUACGCUAAUACCGCAUACGAUCUACGGAUGAAAGCGGGGGAUCGCAAGACCUCGCGCGAUUGGAGCGGCCGAUGGCAGAUUAGGUAGUUGGUGGGGUAAAGGCUCACCAAGCCUUCGAUCUGUAGCUGGUCUGAGAGGACGACCAGCCACACUGGGACUGAGACACGGCCCAGACUCCUACGGGAGGCAGCAGUGGGGAAUUUUGGACAAUGGGCGAAAGCCUGAUCCAGCCAUUCCGCGUGCAGGAUGAAGGCCCUCGGGUUGUAAACUGCUUUUGUACGGAACGAAACGGCCUUUUCUAAUACAGAGGGCUAAUGACGGUACCGUAAGAAUAAGCACCGGCUAACUACGUGCCAGCAGCCGCGGUAAUGUCG